rnacentral:rRNA from 1 species
GUGAGGAAUAUUGGUCAAUGGGCGAGAGCCUGAACCAGCCAAGUCGCGUGAAGGAAGAAGGAUCUAUGGUUCGUAAACUUCUUUUGCAGGGGAAUAAAGUGCGGGACGUGUCCUGUUUUGUAUGUACCCUGAGAAUAAGGAUCGGCUAACUCCGUGCCAGCAGCCGCGGUAAUACGGAGGAACCGAGCGUUAUCCGGAUUUAUUGGGUUUAAAGGGUGCGUAGGUGGUUUGAUAAGUCAGCGGUGAAAGUUUGCAGCUUAACUGUAAAAAUGCCGUUGAAACUGUCGGACUUGAGUGUAAAUGAGGUAGGCGGAAUGCGUGGUGUAGCGGUGAAAUGCAUAGAUAUCACGCAGAACUCCGAUUGCGAAGGCAGCUUACUAAGCUACAACUGACACUGAAGCACGAAAGCGUGGGGAUCAAACAGGAUUAGAAACCCUAGUAGUCC